UACGGGGGGUGCGAGCGUUGUCCGGAAUCACUGGGCGUAAAGGGCUCGUAGGCGGCCAACUAAGUCCGACGUGAAAUCCCCAGGCUUAACCUGGGAACUGCGUCGGAUACUGGAUGGCUUGAAUCCGGGAGAGGGAUGCGGAAUUCCAGGUGUAGCGGUGAAAUGCGUAGAUAUCUGGAGGAACACCGGUGGCGAAGGCGGCAUCCUGGACCGGCAUUGACGCUGAGGAGCGAAAGCCAGGGGAGCAAACGGG
rnacentral:rRNA from 1 species